ensembl:ncRNA T22E5.13 ncRNA
GUGUUUGGUGAAACGUUGCAACUUAUAUCCGCAACAUAUAUACUUUACUACAUGGUUAGGGCUUCUUCUCUUUUUCCGCUUCUACGCGCUCAUAGAGGUCAACACAUUUGGAACAGCUGUCUGCGC